AAUGUUGAGAGUGUCGUAUCUCGAAAGCUUCGUCGUAUCCACUUUAAGAAUAUCUGCAGUAUCUUUAAAACAUUUUUAGAUUUAUCGAAUAUCUAAAUAUUCUUUUCUACAAGUGUAUAUCUUUUAUCAUCACCGUACAUUUUUAUUAUCACCGAUGGAAGUAAUACGGAUAAUGGCGACUGUGAAAACUUCAUGUAAGAAUCGUCGCAAAUUUUGAAAGCUGCUUCUUGGAAUUCAGCGAAAGAUUUUAAUGGGUUUAAUCAAAUUACAAUGCGUAAACGAGCUGGGGAACCAAUUGCUAUUAAACCAAAUGGAGAUUACGCGAAUCCGUUAAUGUAAUCGAGGAACGAGCGAAAUAAUAAAGCCGCGGUAGAAGGAAUUCGCUGGAAUAUGCAAAUCACAUCAAAUGGAUCAUGCGUACGUAACAUGGAAGAUACCUAUGCAAGGACUAAGUACUAUUACCAUUGGCUUAACGAAACGAAAUGAACUUCUUCCCUAUUGUAAUCGCAUAUCCAUGAUGUUUCAUUAAUUCUCUUUUUUAAUUUUCUUUUCGACUCUUGUUAAUUAACUUCUAAGAUUUAUACAUAUAUGUAUAAAAAUAUUAUCAACGAUCAAAA